rnacentral:rRNA from 1 species
GUAGGGAAUCUUGCGCAAUGGGCGAAAGCCUGACGCAGCCAUGCCGCGUGAAUGAUGAAGGUCUUAGGAUUGUAAAAUUCUUUCACCGGGGACGAUAAUGACGGUACCCGGAGAAGAAGCCCCGGCUAACUUCGUGCCAGCAGCCGCGGUAAUACGAAGGGGGCUAGCGUUGCUCGGAAUUACUGGGCGUAAAGGGAGCGUAGGCGGAUAGUUUAGUCAGAGGUGAAAGCCCAGGGCUCAACCUUGGAAUUGCCUUUGAUACUGGCUAUCUUGAGUAUGGAAGAGGUAUGUGGAACUCCGAGUGUAGAGGUAAAAUUCGUAGAUAUUCGGAAGAACACCAGUGGCGAAGGCGACAUACUGGUCCAUUACUGACGCUGAGGCUCGAAAGCGUGGGGAGCAAACAGGAUUAGAAACCCUGGUAGUCC